rnacentral:misc_RNA from 1 species
GAUGAAGAACGUAGCGAAAUGCGAUAAGUAAUGUGAAUUGCAGAAUUCAGUGAAUCAUCGAAUCUUUGAACGCACCUUGCGCUCCUUGGUAUUCCAAGGAGCAUGCCUGUUUGAGUAUCAUUAAAUUAUCAACUGUGCCAAUUUGGUUACAGAUUGGAUGUGGGAGAUUCUUUUUGCAGGCCUUUGACUUCUCUUUGAGAAAAAAAAUAAAAGGUCGGCUCUCCUGAAAUGUAUUAGCAGUGCCUUUGUUGGUUCAUUAGGUGUGAUAAAUUGUCUACAUCUUCGCAUGAUACCUUCAUUUGUAAAGGUCAUAUUGCUCCUAAAUUGUCUUUGAUUGGACGCAAAACAUAUAUAAUGUUUGACAAACUUGAUCUCAAAUCAGGCAGGACUACCCGCUGAACUUAAGCAUAUCAAUAAGCGGAGGA